rnacentral:lncRNA from 1 species
CUUACCAUGUGUCACUUUUAUUUUAUCUUAUUUAUUAAAUAUUUUUAUAGUUUAAAGUUUUUUUAGCUUAUUUUUAUCUUAACUCUGUGUUAUAUGUUUUAUGUCGCACGUUUGCACCGAGAAAAAUUCCUAGUUUGUGAACCUGUUCUCAAACCAUGGCAAUAAAACCGAUUCUGAUUCUGAGAUACCCUUUUAUGAAAGAGUUGUCCCAUGUCCAGGUCAAAGGAGACUCUCCAAUCACACCCACAGCCGAAUGACCAAAGACAUGAACCUGGUCUGAAUUACUACAACAUGGUCCCAGGGAAGUCUCCCCCUGCUGUUGGGACAGAAGACCUGCUCACCUCAGAGCGGGACAAGCAACAAGAUGUGACCUUGCAAAGGGUUUGCCCUUUUCUUCCUGGGACUCUGUAUGAAAACUGCUCCACCACAGAAAGGACGGUAGCACCAUAUGAGGAGAGUUCAGAAGAAGCAAAAGACCUUAUCCAUGGGGAGAACUGGUUCCAUGGCA